CGAGAACAAAAAAGAUCAAUAAAAGUCGUUAAAUGACUUACUUUACAGUUUAAUGAGUUCUUUCUGUAUUAAUAAUAUACAUGAAAAAAAUUCUCAAUUCUGAUUGGCUAAGAGCACUGAAGUUCAGUGCGAAAAGUGAAAAUAAUAAUUAAAAAUCCGACAAAUUUUCUAAUAAAAUUAGUUAUAAUAUAUUAAAAUGAUCUAUUUCGCAUGUGACCUACCCAUGGACGUGACUGCAUAAUUUUUUCAUGUAUAUUAUUAAUAAGUAAUAGUACGGUUUCUCGUGGAAUUUGGUUCCUCGUGGAACAUACACUCGGUAGUUUUUCAAAGACUUCAAAUUGCACUCGUCCUCGGACUAGUUUGUGUGCAAUUUUGAUCGUCUUUGCACGAGAAACCAUACUAUUACCUAUACAAACAGAUUUGAAUUCCAUUACCCACACCCUUUAACAAUGUUAUACAGGGAGUUACCAAAGCACCAAUAUACUCGGUUAUUGUGCUUCAGUAUACGUAAAAUUCCAGGCUCAGAAUCCCGACAGAUUAAUUUUAACAUUGUUUUUAUUCUUCCUGUGUUGUGCCAUUUUAUGCUGCGUAUCUUAACUAUGACCAGAUUUCAUAUUGUUUGGGGGUGUAACAUUUGCUUAUAAGAGAAUUUCCCGGUUUGUGUUGCUGGUGACACGAGAUUAAAUGUAGAUGUACAAAAAAAGACAAAUAUUAAUACAAAAGUUUUGUUAUAAUGGUGAGCAGUUCUGUUGCUGAUAUAUAAUAUAUAUAAAAUUAAGGCAUCGAUAAAAGUGAAAUUAAAUUUAAUUGGAU